CAGUCGCCGCGGGAAUACGUAGGGUGCGAGCGUUAAUCGGAAUUACUGGGCGUAAAGCGUGCGCAGGCGGUUCGUUAAGACAGAUAUGAAAUCCCCGGGCUUAACCUGGGAACUGCAUUUGUGACUGGCGAGCUAGAGUAUGGCAGAGGGGGGUAGAAUUCCACGUGUAGCAGUGAAAUGCGUAGAGAUGUGGAGGAAUACCGAUGGCGAAGGCAGCCCCCUGGGCCAAUACUGACGCUCAUGCACGAAAGCGUGGGGAGCAAACAGGAUUAGAUACCCGAGUAGUCCCUGUCUCUUAUAA
rnacentral:rRNA from 1 species